UUGAAAUACCAAGCUCAAAAACUGUACCAGAGAAUGAAGACUCGUGGUGUUACUUUGUUCUUAGUUGUUCUUUUCACUCUUGCCAUCAUUUCUUCUGCAGGAAGAACCCAUCAAACCACAACUCGCCAACUCCAAGAUCAUAGACAAACUGGAACCGUUAAACCAGAUAAAGUAGCUCAUCCAAAUAACGAUUGGGGUGGCUGUUGGGGUUGUUGGAACCAUGACCGUCGUCGUCUCUUCCGAUAGACCCGUUAAGCUGGUGGUGGUUUGUAUGAUUGUGUUGAUCCAUGCAUUAAGUUAAGUUAUGUUAUAGAUUGAACUAUUGAAGUGUUGGUUUUGUUACUAGGAAAUUAAAUGCUACUUUUAUCUUUAUUAUCACAUGUAUCAAAGUGCUGUUUGUAACCAUGAGCCCAAAUGGACGAUACAUUCGUCAAUCUAAUAAAUAUAUAAUAUUUACACUUAUUUCAUCA